AACGGGGCGGUCGGGCGGAGCGGCAGACCGAGACCCAGUCCAGGCGGCGAUGGCGGCGGCUGCUGUGGUGGCAGCGACGGUCCCCGCGCAAUCGAUGGGCGCGGACGGCGCGUCCUCGGUGCACUGGUUCCGCAAAGGACUACGGCUCCACGACAACCCCGCGCUGCUAGCUGCCGUGCGCGGGGCGCGCUGUGUGCGCUGCGUCUACAUCCUCGACCCGUGGUUCGCGGCCUCCUCGUCUGUGGGCAUCAACCGAUGGAGGUGAGGGGACCCUAUGCUGCGGGGUGGCAACACCAAGCGGACUCCCCUGGGCCCAGGAACUCCAGCCUGCGGCCACUCUGACACAGCGUUUUUGCCCAGUGUGGCCCGCUCUGAACUCCUGGGAGGCCUGGGGGACAGAGGUCCCUCUAUGCUGACGAGACUCUCGUCAAAAACGCGAAGUCAACCUGAGGGAGGAUCUGCAGCCAGUCCCUGGAAGAAUGGGGACUGGGCUUUUAGGGGUGUGCUGUGGGAGCGGAGAAAAGCUUCUUCAAGAGAAGUAGCCCCUCGUGGACCCCCCCCCCCCAAGGGCUUCCCUAAGCCUCGGAUUUGUUUGACUCUCCCCCACGCCUCUUUUCCCAUCCCGCGUAACCUCUCUUCACAGACAAACGUGGUGGUGAUCAGGGAACCUAGCUUAGCAUUAGCCGGUUUUAAAAAGACCCCAAGGGCAUCAUCGGGUAAUGGCACUUUUGUGUUCUUGACGCAUUUUUUUUAAAAAACAUUGAUUGGGAAAGGACAUGCAUGGCAUGGCAGUGUAUAGAGUUAAAAGGACGACUUGCAGGUUCUCACUCACCAUACGGUUCCAGGGUGGAAAGCCGGGUGCCUUUACCCAAUGAGCAAUCUCUCAGGAGGUCCCCUAACCCAUCUGAGAGGAUCCCUGUGUAGUUAUAACGUUGCUAGAAAGAUAUUCAAAGAGGGUUGCAUCACCCGUCAGCUCUUCCGCCUGUUGUCAUGAAGUGUUUUUUAGGAGAGCUGGGCCAUUACAGAUGAGACUUUUAGGAGCUGAUGUGGAAAAACAAGAACACAAUAUGAAGAUUCGGUGAUAACUCCCAGGAGGCUGAACCCUUUCCCAGCAUGCUGUGACAUAAUAAAUCGGCAUCUGAUGUAUUUUCUCUGUAACCAGUCUUCAGAAACAAGACGUUUUGAUACACCAUGUUCCCAUCACUGUCUAAAGGCCUCCCUGCAGUAGCUUGGUUUGUUUGCAUUGUUAUGAGAGGUGUUUGCUUAUGGCCUUGUUGCACAGAUGAGUGAGGUAGUUCCCAGGAGACCGUGGCUCUCAGCGUCCACUCUUUCCUCUCCAAGAGGGGUUUGCCCUGCUAGGAGAGCAAGUGUUCCUAGUAGCACGCCUACUAAAUGCCCCUUCCUGCCCCAUUUACACAGAGGGAGCAACUAAAGAUAGUCCUGUGAAGAGCCAGCCCACACAGUUUUCAGAUUGGGCUAUUACUCUGUCUCGCUCCAGUUUCCAUAGAUAGGAGGUUGGGUUUGACAAACACCGGCAAAUGACCAUCUCUGCUGUGGACAUUAAACCAGGCCUCAGACUUUGCCCUCCCCUUCCUUUUGGCAGUGCGCCAGUGUGGACAGAGUCAAUAGAAUCUGACUCUUAUUUGUUAUGUUGUCAUGAAGAUGUUUCGUUUUUUACUGGGAUUUGGGGGGAGCGCUAUCUAUGACUGCCUACUCCUUUGUGGUAGUGGAAAUAAAAGAGCCUUUUUUCCCCCUUCACAAGGUAGAUUGAACUCCAGUAUGCUUGGUUUUAUGGUUUUUUGAUUUUUGUGGGUCACCCUUUUGUAGCGGCACUUUCGAGAGAAUGAAGCAGAAAACGACUGAGGCAGCUCAGAUGCUUGGGCAACAUCUCAAGUCCUGUGGGAGUGCAGGUACUGAGAAUGGGAUUCCAGGAGUUGUAGCUGGUAGGCUGCUGCCGAGCAUGGCAGUGAACCGUCGGGCCUCGGUGAGCUCCCACAGCCUCCAGAGACCUGCAUCUGAGUAGAGAAAGACAAGCAUAAAUGGAGGCCUAAAUGCCGUGAGCAGAAUGGGGUGGGGGUGGAGGUGGGGAGACACAAACUACAGAUGUGCUUUUAAUAUUUGCCUCACGUUGGAAUCACUUAAGGACCCUUGAAAGCUUCCUGGGCUCCCCUCCCCCGUUUCUGCUUCUCUGAUUCAGUUGCCUUGCCCUACCCUAGGCUGCCUUGGUUUUUUGGCCACUGCAGCCAAGCUUCAGAAGUGCUGCACUAAGGAACUAUAGCAAGCCAGGCAACCCAGGGAGUGUGUUGCUUCAGUGCAUUGACCAGAAGUCUAAUUAGCUUUGGCAUUUAGGAGGACAAGGUGAAAUAACAAAAAAACAGAUCGAAUAUGGUAGCUGCUUCUGAGCCCGGCAUCAGGCACACUCCAGCAGCCUCGCCGUUGUCCUUGCCCCCAGUGGUUUGAGUGCGGGGCUAAAUGCCAUUUGUGCACAGGGUUGGAGGUG
rnacentral:lncRNA from 1 species